CGUGCCAUUGCACUCUAGCCUGGGAGACAGAGCAAGACCCUGUCUCAAAAAUAAAAUAAAAUAACCCACCUACAUUUUCCUCAUGACCUUUUAAUAUUGCUAUAUCAGAAAGUGAUAUAGAUUAAGUCACUUUAGCUCCCUGUGAAAAUAUUUUACAGAAUUCUCUUGGAACCGUAUGUUCCUGUCUCUCCACAAGAGAGGCCAUAUGUUUUUGAAAUUUCCAUUGAAGACUUACCCUGCCUUAGCUUUUCAGUAUCCCGGGAUCAGCUUCUCUUACACUUUUAUACUGGAGAACGAAUUCAUCUCCUAAAGAACUGGUGACUUCUUAAAAUGUCAGAUAACAACAGACACAUAAAUCAUCAUCCCUCUUUGACUGCCAUGAAGUCACAGCGAAAUGUUGGGCUCAGCUACGGAUCCUGGCACAGGAAUCCUUGAGUUCAAGAAGCACUCAGGCCACACACACUUGUGUGUCUGUCCCUGCCAUGCUGUAAAAUCACAGAAGUGUGUGAAUGAUGAAGAUUUUAUUCAUGCUGCUUGGUUUUGUCCCACAAUGAGCUCCAGGAAAAUUCCAGACUGCCACUGUUUUUUUUUUUUCCUCAGCCUCUUCCAGAUGUUCAUUAACUACUGUUGCCUCCAUUUAUCUAAGUUGGCACACAGAAGAAGACUGAGGUGAAAUCUUCGGGGGUCCACGAAGUGUUUGUAGUGGCCGGUUUCGUGGCAUAGUGAUCAUUAUAACAGUGAUUCAUUUCACCAAGUAUUAAGCACCUACUCUUUCCCGUAGGCCUGGCUAGGCCUAGAGAUGGAGGAAAACGUCAAAGUAAUGGAAUACAAUAUCCUUGUCUUUGAGGUAUUAACCUGCAGUAGCUGAGGGCAUAUGUCCUGUUUACCUGAAAAAACAAUUUUUUUCAAAGCAAAACAAAAAUUAAUUAUAGAGAUUUGAGGUUUGGUUAGUCUUAGAAGGUUUUGUGGACUUCAAAUUUCAUCUUAAAAGAAGUGUAGGAUUUAGAUGACUGGAAAUAGGGAAAGAAUUAUUGUUCCAGGAGAGGAAAAGCAUAAACCGAGUUUGCAUAAAGGGAACCAGUAGUGAGCCAUGGGCACAGGCAGGGUGGAAAGUUAGACGGGAAAGGUGCCUCUCCUAGAAAACUGGUUGGAAGGCUGACCAGGGACUGGGGAGUUAGGGGUUAAUCUCUCAAUCCGAUAUAUGCUAAAGAACCAUUGUGAACUCUUAAUCAGAGCAGAGGGAUAAUGGAAAUGAUGCUUCAGAAAGAAUCCACUUGUGCAGAUAAGAGGCUUUGUAAUUACCAGAGAGGAAUAGGAUAUGAAGGUUUUCAUCAGCAUCAAGAGCUGUCUGAGCUGCAGAAAAUUUCUAGCUUCUACACAAAAUGAAGGUUUAUAUAGAACAGCAGAGAGGAGAAGAAAAGGGCAUUAAAGGAUAACUUUUAAUUCCACAAAGAAUGGUAACGAAAGACUAAAGUUUCUAGCAUAGUACUAGUGACAUCGUAGGGCUUAAUAAGUAUUAUUACAGUUGUUAUUUUUAUUACCAUUUUAAGAUUAUUUUGCAUGAUGUUUUCAUAGCAAUAGAAAAUAAGAAAAUCUUACAUUUGUUAUGUGACAGCUAGGUUAGAAUCUGAUUUCUUUUUUUCCCCUUUCAACAACCCUGAGAUGUCGAUUAUCCCUUUUUUUUUAUAGUAGAAGAUACAAGGCUCAGAAUGACUAAGAAACAUACAGCUAGUGAGUGGUACAGGCUGGAUCUGGACCCAGAUGUGUCUCGCUCCAGAAUCCAUGCUUCUUCCACUCUGUCUCUGAAUUGGGAAUCAAAAGAUCUGCCAGAAGCUAAAAGAGCAAAUGUGUGAUUGAAAAACCAAUGACUGCUCUAAACUCACCUAAAGAGUCAGUGAGAAGGGAGAAUGUUUAACAGUGAAGCGCAGAAAAGGGCAGGGUCUGAGGAGCAGAACUGGGAGAUGAUUUAGCUCCGUGCAGCAGAAAGUUUGGUGACUGACGGAUACACAUCAAAUGGUUUCCCUGAAACACAGGCAGUGUUCCGGCUUUACAAGGCUGGGAUGCUGUCUCCCUUAUCUUUUAUGCGAGAUUUUAUCAUCGGCUUCCUGGAUACCUUGUUAGAGAGGAAUACGUGCUCUCUGUACCGCGGAGGACCCGGAAAGGAACAGUUCAGUGCUGGAAAGGAAAUUGCAGUUCACAGAGUAAAACACCGAUGAUCCCAUUGAUACCCUGGCCUCUAGUGAAUUCUAUUAGCAUGAGCCUCUUUCUCCGUGUACCUAAUCAGUAUGUCAUACUAAUGAGAUGAAGUUUCUGAAUGUGCACAUCUAAGAGAAGAAUACCAUAAAGGAAUCCUACUAUGAGGCCCCUAGAUGGCUAACCAGAGGGCCUCUUUCUGGUGACGCCGACCCUUGAGAAGUUCAACAAAGCGAGGUGCAUAUCACUGAGCACUUUCCAUCCCUUGCUGCGUCUCCACUUCCUGGAAACCUUUUCUGCUCAAAUUAUCCUACUUAAAGUUUUUGUUUAGAAGUGGCAUACAUCAAUCCUUUUUUUUUUUUUUUUUUUUU